rnacentral:rRNA from 1 species
AAGCUGUGGAAGCACAUUUCUUGUGUGACCGCGUACUUUUUGUAGAACGGGCCAACGAGUUACGUUAAGUAGCAAGGUUAAGCCCUUAAGGUGCGGAGCCGUAGCGAAAGCGAGUUUUAACUGAGCGUUCAGUUACUUGACGUAGACCCGAAACCGGGCGACCUACCCAGGAGCAGGAUGAAGCGAAAGUAAAAUUGCGUGGAGGUCCGAACCCACGAGCGUUGAAAAGCUCGGGGAUGACUUGUGGGUAGCGGUGAAAUUCCAAUCGAGCCCGGAGAUAGCUGGUUCUCCCCGAAAUAGCUUUAGGGCUAGCCUCAAGGUGAGAGAUACGGAGGUAGAGCACUGAAUGUCCUAGGGGGUAUUGCACCUACCGAAGACUAUCAAACUCCGAAUGCCGUCAUCUUAUACUUGGGAGUCAGACUGUGGGUGAUAAGAUUCAUAGUCGAAAGGGCAACAGCCCAGAUCGUCAGCUAAGGUCCCUAAAUGUAAGUUAAGUGGUAAAGGAUGUGGGAUUGCACAGACAACCAGGAUGUUGGCUUAGAAGCAGCCACUCAUUCAAAGAGUGCGUAAUAGCUGACUGGUCGAGUGAUCCUGCGCGGAAGAUUUCCGGGGCUAAAACUUACUACCGAAGCUACGGCAUCAGUAAUGAUGGGUAGGGGAGCUUCCCAUACGGGUUGAAGCAUGACCGUAAGGACAUGUGGACAGUAUGGGAGUGAGAAUGUUGGCAUGAGUAGCGAGAUGUGGGUG